UUUUGAUUUUUGAUUUCUUCUCAACUGCAGCAAAUCCUCAUCUCAUUUUAUUACCUGAUUUCUAAUUUCACUGUGAAUUUUUGAUUGAAUUUUGGGAGAGAAUGAGAGUUUGAUGCAAAUUGUUGAUUAAUUUCCCUAACAUGCUCAUUGAUUUUCGUUUUACUUUUCUGUUUGUUAUUUUAAUAUCUGUCAUUUUCCACCGCAGACAACACUUCUCAUUGUGACUAUUCACUUACGUCUUCUGGCUGCAAUCAUCCUUACAAUUUGGAUUGACACGUGCUGUAGCUACUGCAAAGGAAAUUCUAGGAUUGAUGAUUCAGACAAAUGCAAUGGUCAUUCUUCUAACUUGAUAUAUAUUCAGGGCAGCUAGCAAAGGUCCCAAUUUUGGCUUUCUAAGGUAAACUCUUAUGUGAAGGAUAAUGGAAUUAAAGUGAGCUCAAAUGUUGUUUUGCUUGCAUAUGAUCACCUUCGCUUGUUUGCAGUCAAAGGAACUGAUGCUGAAAAGACCAACUCUAGCGGGGCUUUCAUAGAAAAUGGUGCACACUACAAGAAAACUAACAAUUCUCAUCUCAAAAUCCAGCAGCAGAAGCAAGAAGAUUUCGACCGAAACCUCAGGAACGAAUUCAGGUCAGAGGAGUUCAAGUUCAUUUUAUAACUAGACUGAUCAGACAAACAUCAGCCAUAGAAUAGCUAUGAGAAGCUGUACAUGGAGGAGGCAAUGCAUAAAUUUGAUGAGCAACUAAUAGAUGUCAAAGUAGAGGAACUUACAGAAGCGACGACAACUUCUAAUCCACAAACGAAGAAGCCAAUCAAGCUAAGUAAAAUAUCAGCUGAGCAAAAUUUGAAUGUAUUUCUUUUGUAGACAAUGAUAAUAGUCCCUUUUUAUAUGAAUAUAAUCCCUUUUAUGAAAGAAAUUCAGAUUCAAAUUA